CCAGCGCUGGGCCAGUGCAGGCCGAGCCCUGCGUCCCUGCCUCGCUGGGUGGGGGUCCGGGGCGCGGCUGUCCACAGGGCCGCCUCCUCCUGCGGCCCGCGGGGAAGGGGCGCAUCCCACCCCGCUCUGCAGGCCGCCCUUCUGCCAGCUGGGAGGCGAGGGCACACGUCCUAAGGCUGCCCAAGGGGGAGAGGAAUCGCGCCGGCCCCUUUGUGUGACUAAAUUUGGCAAGAAUAUGGAUCUGAGCCAGUCUUUCCACGUGUGCUCCCAGCUCCCAGCUGAGAAGGCCAAGGGUUCUCUUCCGGCAGAUUCUUCUCAUUCCCAUCCCUAGCAAAAGGAAUCCCUGCUAAUGAAGUGCUCACAAGAGGGAAAACCAGUUUGGCUAUUAAGGGAACCUGUCGACACAGAGCAGAGCAAGAUAAGGCCAGGUUUCAGAAAGAAUAGCUGUUUACCAUCAAAGCAACUGGGUUCCACACAGACAUGGUAUAUUAUACACAAAGACGAAGGAUAUGGGUCCACUCUCCGUCAAGGAAUGUUAUAAAUCCACGUGGUGUCCCUGGGUGUCAGGCUUGGCCAGAACAUCUGUGGCUGGAGAAGCCAAUGUGGCUCAGGAGCUCCCUGCUGGCUGCACAUCUGAACGGCUUCAGGAGUACAAGUUUCCCCAUCAAAGGUUUGGAAUAAAU
rnacentral:lncRNA from 10 species